GAGCUCGUGUUAGCACUUAGCAGCGCCUCACAUUACCUCACGCAGACGCAGACUCACUGAAAAUGUCAGAAACUGUUCAGCCUUCUAUGUUUAAAACGGAGUUGGACAAUGAUGGAGACGCUCAAAAAGAAGUGACAACAUUUUGAAUGCAACAGGCCGCUUCUGAACGGGAGAGAUAAGUGGGAAGGCCUGAAAACAGACACGGAGGCUGCUUUGAUCCCGCUUUUCAUGAGAGGAUGGAAGUCAGUCCAUCAGUCUUGGAGAGAACAGGGAAGCUGUUAAGACACAGGCCUGACCUUUUAUCCUGCGUUGGGCGGCUCAUCUGUCUUGCAUCUUGGCAGAGGGGGUGUGGUGUGUGUGGUGUGUGUGGUGUGUGUGUGUGUGUGUGUGUGUGUGUGUGUGUGUGUGUGGAGAAUCCAGCUUCUAGAAUCAGAACAGAGAACAAUCCUAUCAUCUGUGUGAUAGACUAUAAACACUCUUUCUCUCACUCAGUCACUUGCUCCCUUACUUACUCACUCCAUUGUUUAUUAUAUAUAUAUAUAUAUAUAAUUGUGGAGAUGUUACUAUAAAGUGUUUUUGUCAAGACAAUAUAUUUCAUUAUUAUUAUUAUUAUUAUUAUUAUUAGCAGUUCAGUCUGUGUUCUAUACUCUACUGGACCAAAGGAAAUAUUAGCUGUACAAUCAGUUCAGUGGUGAUGAGAAAACAGGAGUUUACAGACUGAUAGAUUUGAACAUCAUCUGGUACGACUGGACAUUUAAAGCCUGAGUGAUGUACAGUACAUAUGAUAUGUAUGAUGAUAUGAUGAGCACAAGUAGUGUUCUUUUAGAAGCAUGGCCCACAACCAGACAGACAAAUUAUUCACUAUCUCCAUAACAUUUAAGCACCAUACAGAGGCCCUACAUUCAUCUCAGCACUCGCUUAGUGCAUUUCAGCACUUCAUCAAUCAAGCAAACGGCUCAUGGAUCGUGUUUACAAAAUAUGCAGCCUUGUGGAGAUGGAUAUUACCAUAAAGUGUUUUUGUCAAGACAAUAUAUUUCAUUAAUAAUAAAUUUUGCACUAAAUUACUACAAAGUAUUCAGAAAGUACCAUAAAGUAAAAUAUAUUUUGAAACUUCUGUAAGGUUUUUCGUUUUUUAAUUUUAUUUUUGUGCUGGCUUUCAGCAGUUUUAGUGUGCCAACAUCCCAACAAUGUCAAAUGAAUCUGAUAAAUCUGCAUGCUGUAAAUCAGUUAUGAAGUUUCCAUGGCCCCAUUCAAUGGGAUUGUUAAGGGUUUCCAAAAACGGACAGCCAGUACAUUUUCACUGAUUCUUAAACCACACUGUGACCUACAGCUGCUUACACAGUUACUUGUCCUUUAGCAUAUGCUACUAUUCAAAGAUUCUGUUCAAAUGACUGCACUGAUGGCAGAAACAAUUCCCUUCAGGGAUCUUGGAUUCUAGCAGAUUUUUCAGGAGCACAAUACUGAUAUAUCUUCAGUUGGCCGUACCUGGGAUUUGACUUUGACCUUGUUGGCAGCAAUCUGGAUCAACUACUUCAAUCACUGCUCGCUCCGGUUCACUGCGCUAGGGAUCAUUGAGAUGGAAGUACCUGGAAAAUUGAAAACCACAGAAGACAGAAUGAGUGUAAUGUCUGGAAGAGUGGUGACGUGACACAAAUUAAUGCAACCUAUUGUUAAACAUUAACAAUCAUUUAUGUCAUGCAUGCUGUAUGUGGGAUGGUGUCACAUGGUGAAGAUAUAACUUUUAAAUUUGAGAAUGUUUUUGCUGAGUAAAAUACCACAUAUUUUUCAUAUUUUUGUAAUAAUAUUAAACGCAUUCCGAUAGAUAGGGUAGAUUUUAAGUAAAAGUUUUAUAUCAGACAAAAAUAUAUUGUUUUGUUAUAUAUAUAUACACAGUAUUAAUUAUAUAUAAGUCUUAUAAUAUAUUAUAUACAACAGUUCGUUCUGGUUCUUGAAUCUAAAUCUUGGUCUUUCCAGCCAUGUGAAAUUCUACCAUAUUGCCACAGGAACCAUUUCCCCGUUUGAAUCACUCCGCUUUCAGCAUUCUCACAGCAAGUGUCAUGACAGACAAGCAAACCCACCAUAUUUUUUUAUAGAUUUUUUAUAGAAUGUAGUUUUAAGAGGUUUUUUUAGGCGAGUUUUAUUUAGACCUCGGAUAUACGAUUUAUAUGUAAAACAUAUAGCGCCUAUUUGAAAAUUUGUUAAGACGCUUUUGGAGAUGUGAGCUCCAGGCCAUCAGCGCUCAUGUACCCGCAGACAACAGCUUCAUCUCGGCAAGUCCUUCGGGAAUUUGCCACAGACUCUUAUGUAGAUAGUGUUUUAAACAGGAGGUAUAAUUCGUUUUGGGUAUAUCAAAUAGGCAAUCUUUGGUCUUAUUAAUCUAUUACUUGUUCCAGAGCUAAUAGUUUCGGCUUAAGGGUUAUAUUAAGUUUCAUAACAUUAUAUUUACAUUAAAAUUAAAUCCGGUACUAACUAGAGUACUGUUUUUGUAUGUUUGACUGAACUGUUUGCUUCUGUUUAUUUCCUUUUUUACUUCUUAUACUG